rnacentral:rRNA from 1 species
CGCGGCGCUAUAAUGCAGUCGAGCGGACAGAAGGGAGCUUGCUCCCGGAUGUUAGCGGCGGACGGGUGAGUAACACGUGGGUAACCUGCCUGUAAGACUGGGAUAACUCCGGGAAACCGGAGCUAAUACCGGAUAGUUCCUUGAACCGCAUGGUUCAAGGAUGAAAGACGGUUUCGGCUGUCACUUACAGAUGGACCCGCGGCGCAUUAGCUAGUUGGUGAGGUAACGGCUCACCAAGGCGACGAUGCGUAGCCGACCUGAGAGGGUGAUCGGCCACACUGGGACUGAGACACGGCCCAGACUCCUACGGGAGGCAGCAGUAGGGAAUCUUCCGCAAUGGACGAAAGUCUGACGGAGCAACGCCGCGUGAGUGAUGAAGGUUUUCGGAUCGUAAAGCUCUGUUGUUAGGGAAGAACAAGUGCAAGAGUAACUGCUUGCACCUUGACGGUACCUAACCAGAAAGCCACGGCUAACUACGUGCCAGCAGCCGCGGUAAUACGUAGGUGGCAAGCGUUGUCCGGAAUUAUUGGGCGUAAAGGGCUCGCAGGCGGUUUCUUAAGUCUGAUGUGAAAGCCCCCGGCUCAACCGGGGAGGGUCAUUGGAAACUGGGAAACUUGAGUGCAGAAGAGGAGAGUGGAAUUCCACGUGUAGCGGUGAAAUGCGUAGAGAUGUGGAGGAACACCAGUGGCGAAGGCGACUCUCUGGUCUGUAACUGACGCUGAGGAGCGAAAGCGUGGGGAGCGAACAGGAUUAGAUACCCUGGUAGUCCACGCCGUAAACGAUGAGUGCUAAGUGUUAGGGGGUUUCCGCCCCUUAGUGCUGCAGCUAACGCAUUAAGCACUCCGCCUGGGGAGUACGGUCGCAAGACUGAAACUCAAAGGAAUUGACGGGGGCCCGCACAAGCGGUGGAGCAUGUGGUUUAAUUCGAAGCAACGCGAAGAACCUUACCAGGUCUUGACAUCCUCUGACAACCCUAGAGAUAGGGCUUUCCCUUCGGGGACAGAGUGACAGUGGUGCAUGGUGUCGUCAGCUCGUGUCGUGAGAUGUUGGUAGUCCCG